rnacentral:rRNA from 1 species
UACGUAGGGGGCGAGCGUUGUCCGGAUUUAUUGGGCGUAAAGAGCUCGUAGGCGGUUCGGUAAGUCGAAUGUGAAAUCUCCACGCUCAACGUGGAGGGGUCAUUCGAAACUGCCGUGACUUGAGUACGGUAGGGGAGUGUGGAAUUCCCGGUGUAGCGGUGAAAUGCGCAGAGAUCGGGAGGAACACCCGUAGCGAAGGCGGCACUCUGGGCCGAUACUGACGCUGAGGAGCGAAAGCGUGGGGAUCAAACAGG